UACGAAGGGGGCGAGCGUUGUUCGGAAUUAUUGGGCGUAAAGGGCGCGCAGGCGGCUCAUUUUGUCAGGCGUGAAAGCCCCGGGCUUAACCUGGGAACUGCGUUUGAUACGGAUGGGCUAGAGUUCGGGAGAGGAGAGUGGAAUUCCCAGUGUAGAGGUGAAAUUCGUAGAUAUUGGGAAGAACACCGGUGGCGAAGGCGGCUCUCUGGACCGAGACUGACGCGUGAGGCGGCGAAAGCGUGGGGAGCAACAGG
rnacentral:rRNA from 1 species